ACUCAAAGAUGGUGAAACAAGAAAGACAACCUGUAUUCCCAGAACUGAGAACGCUGAGGAGUAGAUCAGCCAGUGGUUUUAGAGGUCCACCCCGUGACGCUGGGCCAGAUGAAGAACAUUGUCCCCGACUCUGCCCCUCACCGGGAUCCGCUUGCCAGAGCGGUCCACGAACACCACGUUGACCCUGGGGACAAACGGUGCAGGUGCUGAGCCCGAGGCCGGCCUGUGGCUAGGUGGCAGGGCGGGGCAGGGCGUGGCACGGCGGGCACUCACACAUCCCGGGGCAGCUCCGGGCUGUCCGCCUCGUCCUCGCCAGCACGCCGCUCGCCUGUAAACACACGAGUGGGUGAGCGGCUGCGGCCG
rnacentral:lncRNA from 1 species